rnacentral:rRNA from 1 species
GAGUUUGAUCGUGGCUCAGAUUGGACGCUGGCGGCAUGCCUUACACAUGCAAGUCGAACGGCAGCAUGAUCUAGCUUGCUAGAUUGAUGGCGAGUGGCGAACGGGUGAGUAAUACAUCGGAACGUGCCCUGUAGUGGGGAUAACUAGUCGAAAGAUUAGCUAAUACCGCAUACGACCUGAGGGUGAAAGUGGGGGACCGCAAGGCCUCAUGCUAUAGGAGCGGCCGAUGUCUGAUUAGCUAGUUGGUGGGGUAAAGGCCCACCAAGGCGACGAUCAGUAGCUGGUCUGAGAGGACGAUCAGCCACACUGGGACUGAGACACGGCCCAGACUCCUACGGGAGGCAGCAGUGGGGAAUUUUGGACAAUGGGCGAAAGCCUGAUCCAGCAAUGCCGCGUGUGUGAAGAAGGCCUCGG